ACAAGAGAUCAGCUGAUCAAGAGCCUGGCAGACAGCCAAGAUUAACCCACCCAACCAAGUACUACCCAAAGUUUUAAAAAAGAUCCCAAGAAAUUUUGGUGAAGAAGAACAAAGGAUUACGUCCUGGACAGAAAGUCUGGAAAUCAUGUCGUAUGUUGCUGAGUGUCCUAGAGCAAGAACUGGACCUCUGACAAGGGUAUAACCUGAGGGAACAGCAUGGAACUGCAUCAGAGGAGGGUCAGGUUGGGUAUUAGGAAAAGUUUCUUCCCCAAGACUGUGGUUGGACACUGGAACAGGCUCCCUGGGAUAUUGGUCAUGGCACUAACUUUGCCUGAGUCCAAGAAGCAUUUGGAAAAUACUCUCAGACAUAUAUUUUCAUUUUUAUAUAGUUCUGUAUGGAGCCAGCAGUUGGACUUAAUGAUUCCUUCAACUUAGUAUAUUCAGCAACCCAUAGAAGGAAGAAGAGGAAAGUGGCAGGGUGAGUCGAGAAAGGGAGAAUGACAGUAUGUGAUUCAGAGAGCCGAAUACAAAUGGUGGAAGAAUGAGGAGAAGCCAGUAUUUUGACCAAGAUCCGGUGAGAGAAAAGACUAAAUGAAAAGAUAACAGAAAAACAUCUCCAAGAAGAAAGAAGCUCCCUUGCUCCCAAAUAAAAUAAGAGAUAAUGGAAUAAAUGGGCUUCCAAAGAUAAUUAAGCAGUUUGGCAAAAAAGGAAGUCAUUAUCAGCUAUUGAAAUGUGGUUAUGGAAAGAGCACAUUCUGCGAGCAAGAUGUAUAACUUUCUUUUUGACUGUCAGGAUUCUAGCCACACUCUUAGACUCCUUUCUUCAGGUUAUUAUUUCAGUAUUCAUACAAUCAUAAAAUCAUUGAAUGACUUAGGUUGGAAGAGACAUUAAAGAUGAUACAGUUCUAAUCCCCCUGCCGUAGACAGGGUUGCCAGCCACUAAAUCAGACACUAGAUUAGGCUGCCCAAUCCCUCAUUCAACCUGGCCUUGAACAACUUCAGGCACAACUUGUCUUGGCAGCCUGUUCCAGCACCUCACAGCGCUCUGAAUGAAAAUUUUUCUCCUACUAAUCUAAAUCUACCCUCUUUUAGUUUCAAACCAUUCUCCGUUAUCCUAUCACUACGAGAGUGUGUAAAAAGUAUGUCUCCCUCCUAUUUACAAGCUCCUUUUAAGUACUAAAAGGCUGUAAAGAGAUCUAUUUGGACUGAUAACUUCUCCAGGGAAAAUAAGACCAUCCCCCUCAGCCUAUCUUUGCAAGAGAUGUGCUUCAGCCCUCUGAUCAUCUACAUGCUCUCCUCUGGACCUGCUCCAAUAGCUCUGCAUCCUUCUUGUGCUGGGGCCCCAGACCUGGAUGCAGUACUCCAAAUGAGGCCUCAUAAGGGCAGACCAGGAGACAAUCACCUCUCCUGCUCUGUUGGCCACACUUCUUUUCAUGCAGGCCAAGACACUGCUGGCCUUCUGGGAUGCAAUUCCUAACCAGUCACUCUGGUCCCAUUGGAAAGGAAUCUAAGAACAAGUCUUACCUAAAUUGGAAGAAAGAGGAGAUGAUUAUUUUUAAUCAAUGGACAAUCAAAAACUUUAAGAAAAUUAGGUUUAGGUUUUAAGAUAUUCAAGCUUGGAAGCAUGAGAAAGAAUUUCCACCUUUGGAAAGUUGUUAAUGUUAUUACUGGAGUAGUCUAGAUGUUUUCAAAAGCAGUGAUUUCUCUCCUCUAAUUCUAUAAAUUAUAGUGAUGAUGUUGAUAAUGUUGUGCACCUUUGGUAUUAAAUGCAAUGAGUAUUUCACAGGAAAUUAAAUGUGACUAACAAUUGAAGUAUCCAGCGAAAGAGUCAGUGUGUACUGUUGACAUCUUUUAGCAUUCUUAGACUUCUUUAUGUGUACUGUGCAAAGUGAAGACUAAAACAAAUUGUGUAGAUUUGAAUUAACUGUUCAUUUAACAGAGGAAAAUACAUAGUGGAAACAAACAAAGUAAUCAUAAGCAUAACUUAUAAUAGCAUAAUUUGUGGAGAGGAGGGAAAUGAAAUAAUAAUUAUUGGCAGUGCUCAAGGUGUUUCUGAGGCACUGUUAAAGAUAAUAAUUUAAUUCUCUAAAAAAUCACUAGCUCUGUCAAGACCUAUGGGCCAUUCUGAUGAACAUAUGGAGUGAUGUUCAGCAUCGGCAUUCUAAUCUCAUUGGUUUUUAGGCACAAAUACCAUAUGGAAGGACCAUAUUGUGCUUAAUCUCCUGAGUGUGAUAGUAGGUAAAACCUUCACCCUAUUACACAGUCUAAUGUAACCAGACAGAGGAGAAUCAAAACAUAUGCCAAGAUUCUGAAAGUGUUUCAGUAAUGUUUUGCUCUGAAAUUUCUGUUGGUCAUGGAGAAUAUUGUCUUUUAAUUAAAAAGAAGAACUAUUUUCACAACAAUUGUAGCUGUUUCUGAACUUUAUUAUCAACCCUUCAUUUGUUGUAUCUACUUGUUGUUUGUCUAAUCCAAUAAUAUUCACUUUACACUACAGGAAACUACAUAAAGUUACAAUAUGCAUGGUCUAAUUCACUCACAGUGACAUACAGAUGGAAUUUUUCAAUAAAUUGUCAGGUGCUAUGAGUAAGUUCUGAUUAAAAUAAUUGCAAUGUUUGUCCUACAGAUGGCUGUAACCUAUAUAUACACAAAGGUAGCUACCAAAAAAUGUUUGAAAUAAAGAAACUGAAGCAUUGAGAAGAAGGUCUGUAGCAGCAUGAGCACAGACAUAAAAGACCAGACAAACCUAAAUUCCGACUCUAUGCACUCAUUAUGAGCAGACAACCCUGCUAUUUGUUUAAAGCAUCAUUUUAUUUAUCAAUAAUCCCAUUAAAAAUAUGCCAUAAGUAAGUUUAUGUAAUAAACAUCAAGUAUAUUUAUGUAAGUAACUUGCAUUCAGGACUACCCUGAAUAACCCAGCAUAAUUUCAUGCUGCUGUGUGUGAAUUUUGGAUGGCAUCUAUUGCAAGGUUAAAAUCCUGGGGGGGGGAAAUAAAGGAAGAAUGUAUAUAUCUUUCAUGUCCAGUUUAGAAAAUUGUAAAUGUCUUGAUCUGUUUCAUUCAGUUAUGAAAGUUGUAUUAUUGACAUUCACAGAAGCACCAUUUAAUGUGAACUAAGAAUACUCUUAUUGAAAACACACUGGCUCUUACUUCCAGCAUACACCGAAGUUUGGGCCAUAUAAACCAGGAGAGUAGAAUUUGCUUUGAUUCCAUACUGCCUUUGCGUGAAGAAAAUUCUUUCAGGAGCCACUGCAGUCCAUGUUUUUCCAUUGGACAUCUAGGAUAGUUCAAGAAAGAAACAGUAAGAGCCAGAAGCUUCAGUGCUUUAAAACUUUUGAUGGUGGUUUGAUGAAUAUUAUAAAAAAGCUCUAAACCUAUAAGGAAGCAUUAGGAACAAUUGAAAGGAAAAGAACGCACAAAACGGCAGAAUAUAAAUAGAAGGUCUUGACAGUACUGGAUUUAACAGUUUGUACACGUAUAGUUUUGAGCUGACAUAAUUUUUUACUUUUUUCUUUUGUUGUUGUUUUUGCUACCCAGUCAACAUGGAAUCAGUUGGAUUUAUUUUGUUUCUCCCUGAAUAGGCUGUUUUAGUAUGAAUGCUUCUGAUAAUGUCUCCCCUGCUCUGUUUGCCUUGGUUAUCUCAGAACUUAUGUUUUGAAGGGAUUCAUUUACAUUGGGAUAUUCUAUGUCUUAUGCUGUAUGUGCUAUCCAAAGAUUGAUGGAAUGAUGAAUAGAGUCAAAAUUAUCAGACUGUGUAUUUUUAUUAAUUUUUUUUUUCUUUCCAUCUGUAACUUCCCAGUUUGCCAAAUUGAAUA